rnacentral:rRNA from 1 species
AGGUGGCAAGCGUUGUCCGGAUUUACUGGGCGUAAAGGGCGCGCAGGCGGUCGUUCAAGUCGCGUGUGAAAGCCCCCGGCUCAACUGGGGAGGGUCACGCGAUACUGAUCGACUCGAAGGCAGGAGAGGGUAGUGGAAUUCCCGGUGUAGUGGUGAAAUGCGUAGAUAUCGGGAGGAACACCAGUGGCGAAGGCGACUACCUGGCCUGUUCUUGACGCUGAGGCGCGAAAGCUAGGGGAGCAAACGGG